CCUACGGGCGACUGCAGUCGGGAAUAUUGCGCAAUGGAGGAAACUCUGACGCAGUGACGCCGCGUGCAGGACGAAGGUUUUCGGAUUGUAAACUGCUUUAGGCAGGGCAGCAAAAAGACAGUACCUGUAGAAUAAGCUCCGGCUAACUACGUGCCCGCAGCCGCGGUAAUACGUAGGGAGCACGCGUUAUCCGGAUUUAUUGGGUGUAAAGGGUGCUUAGACGGAGAAGCAAGUUAGUUGUGAAAUCCCUCGGCUUAACGGAGGAACUGCAACUAAAACGACUUCCCUUGAGUACUGGAGAGGAAAGUGGAAUUCCUAGUGUAGCGGUGAAAUGCGUAGAGAUUAGGAGGAACACCAGUGGCGAAGGCGACUUUCUGGACAGGAACUGACGUUGAGGCACGAAAGUGUGGGGAGCAAACAGGAUUAGAUACCCCUGUAGUC
rnacentral:rRNA from 1 species